CUGAGUGCGAGUAUUGUCGCGUUAGCGGCAAUGCGAGCAGUGAGAGGGUGUGGUUUUGAUGAGGGGUGGUGGAGUUUUAGUGCUCCACUAGCCUUUUUCCAUUGUAUUGCGAUUUUCAAACAAGUAUGAGCAAGUGAUUACGACACA
rnacentral:misc_RNA from 1 species